rnacentral:rRNA from 1 species
CUCGUUGCCCGCCACUGUAGGUUUGGUUUCCGUAAACGAGUCGGGUAGCUUGAGAAUGCUGCCUUAAGUGGGUGGUCCGCCCCCUCCAACGCUAAAUAUUGUAAGGAGACCGAUAGAGCACAAGUAGUGUGAACGAAAGAUGAAAAGAACUCCCAGACGGAGAGUUAAAAGCGCCUGAACUUGUCUAGGGUAAGGCAUUUAUUAAUGCGCCCGUCUUGAAACACGGAUUAGGGAGUUUAACUGUAGUACGAGUCUUUGCGUAAAAAACGUGGAGGCGGAAAGAGAUUGACUGGCAUAAGCAUGGCGAUCGAGUACUACUGUUAGGACCCGAAUGGAGGUGAACUAUGCCUGCACAGAUCGAAGUCAGGGGAAACUCUGAUGGAGGAUCGUCGAGUUAUUGAUGUGCAAAUCAUUUUCUAGAUGUGGGUAUAGGUGCGAAAGACUCAUCGAACCUCCUAAUAGCUGGUUUCCUCCGAAGUUUCCCUAAGGAUAGCUGUAACACUUUUAGUUAAGGGGAGUAGAGACAUGGGUAGAGGUG